ensembl:lncRNA
GGAAAAUACAAGGAAAAGAAGAAAGUCUCUUCUUUCAGGCUGUGUAAGUUUGAUCUGGGAGCUUAUCCAAAAGGAAUCGUGAAACAUCUGGACAUUUGACUUAAGUACCCAUAGUUCUGAAAUCUGAAACAUCCAUCUCAACCUCAGCUGUCAUAACCGUGGAAGAGUACUGGCACUGCUUGUGGCUGCCUUGCCAUGAUCUCAUGUGCCUUUGGUGGAUAAGAUAUAUAAAUCAGUUUGAGACUGUAGAAGAUGUGAAACAAAGCUAGAGCAACCUCUGUCAUAUCCACCUAGGUUAAUAGUCUGCCUGCCUGGUGAUCUUGUCUCUAACAGAGCUCGGUAAAGUGCUGCACACUGGCGAUUCCAUUUGAGGAACAAAUGCUGAAGGGAUAGAAGGCACCUCUAGUCCUACAGAAGACAGACUUCUUUUUUUGGUUUGACUGUGACAGUAAAAGAACUCUCCAGACCCUAACUUCAUUCUUGCUUUGACUUCUCCUCCACUGGAUCAGGUAAUGUGACUGCUGCCUCAUCUUUCUGAAGCAAACUUCCCCAGGUAACUCCAACGACAGAAAAUUUUCCUUGAAACUAACUACGAAGUACCCAGAGUGAAGUUUCUGUCCCACUGCAUACCUCCUGUUCCAAAACUAAGCUGCACAGCGGGAGUGGUUUUCUCUUAUUCUGGGCCAG